rnacentral:rRNA from 1 species
AUACGAGAGGUGCAAACGUUAUUCGGAAUCACUGGGCGUAAAGGGUGCGUAGACGGCAUGGCAAGUCAGUUGUUAAAUUUUCCGGCCUAACCGGAAGUCAGCAGCAGAAACUGCUUUGCUAGAGGAUGGAAGAGAGAAGUGGAAUUCUCGGAGUAGCGGUAAAAUGCGUAGAUCUCGAGAGGAACACCAAUGGCGAAGGCAGCUUCUUGGUCCAUUCCUGACGUUGAGGCACGAAAGCGUGGGGAGCAAACAGGAUUAGAAACCCCGGUAGUCC